rnacentral:tRNA from 1 species
GGUCCCAUCGUCUAGGGGUUAGGACACCAGGUUUUCAUCCUGGCAACAGGGGUUCGAAUCCCCUUGGGAUCACCA